AGCAUUCAGCAUGUAACAUAUGAUAACUGGAAUACAAAUACAGGAUGAAUAAAAUCAAAAAGGUAUACUAAUAUCUAGCACACAGCACAUGUCAAACACAAUAUAUUUUGUUCGACAUAUGCUAAGUGCUAGAUAUUGUAAUGAUUAAAGAAAAGUUUAACAAAGUCUG